GAAAUUUCGGUGCGGGCAAUUCUAUCGAAAAGAAAAGUUGCCCAAUGAAACAGCCAACAAGUGCAGAUCUUUUGGUUUUCAAAGUUUCUUGGGAGCUUCUCUAAUUGUACUGAAUUUCAUCUAUGAAAUCUUUGAGGACUCAGUUUGAGGUUUCUCUUAUCAAGUUGUAAGGAAAGUUACCUAUGUUAAGGCGUUUGUUCCCUUUGAGCAUAUUGAAACCCGGCAUCAAAUUCCCUGUGAAGAACAUUUUUUCACGUCGGAAACUAUUGACAGGCCUGGAGAAGAAAGUCCUAAAUCUUUUGGUUUUCAAAUUUGCUUGAACUGAUUUCCUCACUGCAGGGAAUGCUCUAGGGCAAAGCAAUUGCAGAAACUUCAUUGAUGCACUUGUAGAAAUAAAAGCAAAUUUGCUUCAUGAAACAAGUACUGAAUCUUUUGGUUUUCACAUUUUGUUGGUGUGCUUUUACCCAACUGGAUGAUGUCCUUAACCAACCUCAGGAACUUAACACUAGCUGGAUGCAUAAACUGCAAGCAUUUGCCUUCCUUGGGAAAAUUGCCAUCCCUUAAAUCUUUGUGUAUAACUGUCUCUGUACUCCUUAAAGGUCACAACACUGGGUUAUGGAAGAGAAGAAGAAUGAAGGACCAAUUCUUUAUAGUUCAAUGGUAGAAACUUCAUUGAGGGACAUAUAUUGUAACAAGAAGAAACUUUUGGCUGAUGAAACAGGUGCUGAAUCUUCUGGUUUUCACAUUUUCUUGCUAUUAUCUCCAGUGUCUUGGAGCAGCUGACUUCAAUCAUUGCCCCAGGGAUACAACAGGAGGUGAGGCUAGUUGUUGGUCUUCACAAAUAAGUUAAAAAGCCCAGGAGCAAUCUUCAAGCAAUUCAAGCUGUGCUCCUUGAUGCAGAGGAAAGACAAGUGAAGGAGAGAAACGUCAGACUUUGGUUAGAUCAGCUCAAGGACACGUCUUAUGACAUUGACAAUGUGUUGGAUGAGUGGAACUGUACUUUGUUGAAACAGAGAAUUGAAGGGGUUGAAAAUGCCCUUGUUCCUAAUAAGAGGAGGAAUUCGAACAUUAUGGUACAACAUGCUAGAUGGGAAGUUCUUAUCAAUGAAAGUAUGCUAGAUGAAGAAGCUUCUCCAAUUACUCUAGACCCUCGAUGAAAUCCCUUGAUGACUGGUACAGUGAG